rnacentral:rRNA from 1 species
UAUUCCUGUACUACCGAUAACCGUUUGAGAGAAGGGAUGACACAGUAGGAUAAGCUAAGCACACUGUUGGUUAUGUGUGCCCAAGCAUUGAGGCAGUCAAAGUAGGCAAAUCCGCUUUGAUAAUGCUGGGAUGUGAUGGGGAGCGAAAUUUAGUAGCGAAGUAGCUGAUUUCACACUGUCAAGAAAAGUCUCUAUCGAGGUUAAAGGUACCCGUACCGCAAACCGACACAGGUGGGUGAGGAGAGUAUCCUAAGGCCAGCGAGAGAACUGUUGUUAAGGAACUCGGCAAAAUGACCCCGUAACUUAGGGAUAAGGGGUGCCACCAUCAGGUGGCCGCAGAGAAUAGGCCCAAGCGACUGUUUACCAAAAACAUAGGUUUCUGCUAAGUCGCAAGACGAUGUAUAGGAGCUGACGCCUGCCCGGUGCUGGAAGGUUAAGGGGAUCUGUUAGAG